CAAGCCUCACCUGGAGCCUCCAUCCACGCCAUUGUCAAUAUGCACAGAGCGUUUUUAAAACUCAGACCAACAACCUCAUUUGCUUUCUUGGCUGUGCUGUAGGAAUGCCACACUCUAGCUCAGCUACAGGUAUACCUGACCACGGAUGGUCCUGAUCAUGGAUGAUCCAGCUUGAUCUUAGAGCUACCCUGUUGUGAUGGACCUGCCUAGCACUCACUGGACUUCAUCCUGUCCCUGACUGCAGAUUGAUUUCCCAGCUUGAUCUCAGACCUGCCUUGUCUCAGUAAACUUGCUUCAUGGUCGGGACCUAUGAGUGAACCUGAUUUAUAGGCCUGCCCUGUCCACCUCAACUGGGUGCUCUGUGAUGGGUUAUGAGUUCCAUAUGAGUUCCUUGCUACCUGUCCUUAAGGAAACAGCUGGUCCUUGCUGUUCCAUGAUGCCUGGUCUGAUUUUCUCGGCUACCUUCAACAGUAAGGAUGACAAGUGCCCCUUGUUUGCUUCAAGUAUAAAACAAUAAUAUUAGUGCCAUUACCAUAUGGAUUUAUCCUGUUCCACGUCCAUUAGCCACUAAUGCUGCAUUAAUGUGAGCUGGCUAUAUAAGAUCCUCCCUGGUGUAUGGUCCUAGCUCCCAUGGCAUGUAUAACAAAAGCGGCUUGGUUCCCCAUGGCUUCUCUCAUUCACUCCUAAUGUAUUUACCCACCCUGCCCACUUUUUCUAAUCGGUUUUAUCACUGGCUAUAUUAAUGGUGCCCCUGAAUAAUGACUGGAGUUGGAGAUAUGAAAUAUUGAAAAAUUGACUCUGAAAAGAACAGAAGCUGGAAACAAAUGGAAAAACCUUGCUGAGGGUGGUGUGUUUGUUCUUCAGAACUGUAAUCUAGCACUAUUCAAUGAUUUUAAAUGAUCAAAUUACCAAAAAGAAGAAAUGAUACUAAUAACUAUAUGUUUAAAUGUUCUUAAGAAACCUUUUUUAUUCUUUCCCAAGUGCUGUAAUUCAUUGCAAC
rnacentral:lncRNA from 1 species